UACGUAGGGGGCAAGCGUUGCCCGGAUUUAUUGGGCGUAAAGGGCGCGUAGGCGGCUCUGCACGUUCGUUGUGAAAUCGCCCGGCUCAACUGGGCGGGGUCAGCGGAUACGGCAGAGCUUGAGCAAGCUAGGGGGCAAUGGAAUUCCCGGUGUAGUGGUGGAAUGCGUAGAUAUCGGGAGGAACACCAGUGGCGAAGGCGGUUGCCUGGGGCUUACCUGACGCUGAGGCGCGAGAGCGUGGGGAGCGAGCCGG
rnacentral:rRNA from 1 species